rnacentral:rRNA from 1 species
UUGGAUUCGCUAGUAAUCGCGCAUCAGCCAUGGCGCGGUGAAUACGUUCCCGGGCCUUGUACACACCGCCCGUCAAGCCAUGGGAGCCGGGGGUGCCUGAAGUUCGUGACCGCAAGGAGCGACCUAGGGCAAAACUGGUAACUGGGGCUAAGUCGUAACAAGGUACC